UACGAAGGGGGGCUAGCGUUGCUCGGAAUUAUUGGGCGUAAAGCGCACGUAGGCGGCUUAGCAAGUCGGAUGUGAAAUCCCUCGGCUCAACCAAGGAAGUGCAUCCGAAACUGCUGAGCUAGAGUACGAAAGAGGGUCGCGGAAUUCCCGGUGUAGAGGUGAAAUUCGUAGAUAUCGGGAGGAACACCGGUGGCGAAGGCGGCGACCUGGGUCGAGACUGACGCUGAGGCGCGAAAGCGUGGGGAGCAAACAGG
rnacentral:rRNA from 1 species